rnacentral:lncRNA from 1 species
AGGGUUUGAAUGCAUAAAUGAGCGUCAUGAUGUGAACUCCAUGAAUCAAGAUCCAAUAGAGCAUGAAAUUAGGGUUUGCAUUCCAUAUGAUGAGUAAUUCCACAAUCCUCAAACAAAACCCUAGUUUGAAUUAACCAUAAGCUUUGAAUCUGUGAUGCUUGUUAGAAAGUAUUAACAUGAUUGAGUAAUGCACAUGAAUGAGUACAGAUGAAUCCUAGGUCCAAGGUUGAAUGAAGAAUGAAAAUGGGAGGACAAAUUUUGGGGUAUGACAACUGCCCCUCUUUAAUCAUCUUAAACAUGAAUGUGCAAAUUCCAAAAGUUUUUCGGGUAUUCAAGGUAGAAGAGGAUUAAAUAUCAAAGUAUCCGAAAAUUUUCCAGUUGAAAAUGGUUAUAAGGUGAUAUAUGUAAGUGUAUAUGAAUGCAUAAUGGCAGGUAGACUUUUAUAGGUUCAUCUGUUGGGGAUUUGAUUGAAAUAUUUUGUGGGGAAAUAUAUCAAUUGCAAAGGAGAAACAUGACAUGCAUGUUAUAUGCCAUGAUUUAUUUUUAUGAUGCAUUAGGCCUUGUAUGCUAUAUAGAAAAG